GUGAAUCAUCGAGUCUUUGAACGCAUCUUGCGCCCGGUGGUAUUCCGCCGGGCAUGCCUGUCUGAGUGUCAUUACCAUCUCAACCCCCAGUGACUUUGUGAUGAAGUCGCUGAGUGGCUUGGAACGUGGGCCUGGCAGGAACUCCCUGCCGGUCUUAAAUGGAGUAGGCUAACCGAAUAUACAGCGGUUUGACCGAGUGUUGUAGAGUCGCCCUCACGUUGGACGCUGAUCGGAUUGGUUGAACUGUAAUUGAAUUACUCGAGCGAUUUAGACCUCAGAUCAGGUAGAAUUACCCGCUGAACUUAAGCAUAUCAAUAAGCGGAGG
rnacentral:rRNA from 1 species